rnacentral:rRNA from 1 species
AUUGAACGCUGGCGGCAUGCCUUACACAUGCAAGUCGAACGGUAACGCGGGGCAACCUGGCGACGAGUGGCGAACGGGUGAGUAACGCAUCGGAACGUGCCCAGUAGUGGGGGAUAGCCCGGCGAAAGCCGGAUUAAUACCGCAUACGACCUACGGGUGAAAGGGGGGGAUCGCAAGACCUCUCGCUAUUGGAGCGGCCGAUGUCAGAUUAGGUAGUUGGUGGGGUAAAGGCCUACCAAGCCGACGAUCUGUAGCUGGUCUGAGAGGACGACCAGCCACACUGGGACUGAGACACGGCCCAGACUCCUACGGGAGGCAGCAGUGGGGAAUUUUGGACAAUGGGCGCAAGCCUGAUCCAGCCAUGCCGCGUGCGGGAAGAAGGCCUUCGGGUUGUAAACCGCUUUUGUCAGGGAAGAAACGCGCUGGGUUAAUACCUCGGCGUAAUGACGGUACCUGAAGAAUAAGCACCGGCUAACUACGUGCCAGCAGCCGCCGCGGUAA